UACGGAGGGUGCAAGCGUUAUCCGGAUUCACUGGGUUUAAAGGGAGCGUAGGUGGGUUGGUAAGUCAGUGGUGAAAUCUCCGAGCUUAACUUGGAAACUGCCAUUGAUACUAUCAGUCUUGAAUAUUGCGGAGGUCAGCGGAAUAUGUCAUGUAGCGGUGAAAUGCUUAAAUAUGACAUAGAGCACCAAUUGCGAAGGCAGCCGGCUACGCAUAUAUUGACACUGAGGCUCGAAAGCGUGGGGAUCAAGCAGG
rnacentral:rRNA from 1 species